CCUGGAUCAGUGAUGUUACUGAGAAACUGCGUUAUCUUUCUGUAAUUUCCUAAGGGGAAUUGGAGAUAAUUUUAACUAGCUGAGAUCCAAU